AUUGAACGCUGGCGGCAUGCCUUACACAUGCAAGGUCGAACGGCAGCGGACCUUCGGGUGCCGGCGAGUGGCGAACGGGUGAGUAAUAUAUCGGAACGUGUCCAGAAGAGGGGGUAACGCAUCGAAAGAUGUGCUAAUACCGCAUAUGCUCUGAGGAGGAAAGUAGGGGAUCGAAAGACCUUACGCUUUUGGAGCGGCCGAUGUCUGAUUAGCUAGUUGGUGGGGUAAGGGCCUACCAAGGCGACGAUCAGUAGUUGGUCUGAGAGGACGACCAGCCACACUGGGACUGAGACACGGCCCAGACUCCUACGGGAGGCAGCAGUGGGGAAUUUUUGGACAAUGGGCGCAAGCCUGAUCCAGCAAUGCCGCGUGAGUGAAGAAGGCCCUUCGGUUGUAAAGCGUCUUUACNGUCGAGAAGAAAAGGACGUGCAGUGAAUAACUGUAGUUUAUGACGGUAUCGACAGAAGAAGCA
rnacentral:rRNA from 1 species